rnacentral:rRNA from 1 species
UCGAGAAUUUUUCUCAAUGGGGGAAACCCUGAAGGAGCGACGCCGCGUGAAGGAUGAAGGUCUUCGGAUUGUAAACUUCUGUCAUUAGAGAACAAGGAGACGGGUAGUAACUGCCCCGUCUUUGAUAGUAUCUGAAGAGGAAGAGACGGCUAACUCUGUGCCAGCAGCCGCGGUAAUACAGAGGUCUCAAGCGUUGUUCGGAUUCAUUGGGCGUAAAGGGUGCGUAGGCGGCGUCGUAAGUCGGGUGUGAAAUCUCGGGGCUCAACUCCGAAAUUGCAUUCGAUACUGCGGUGCUUGAGGACUGGAGAGGAGACUGGAAUUCACGGUGUAGCAGUGAAAUGCGUAGAUAUCGUGAGGAAGACCGGUGGCGAAGGCGGGUCUCUGGACAGUUCCUGACGCUGAGGCACGAAGGCCAGGGGAGCAAACGGGAUUAGAUACCCCCGUAGUCC